GGAGAAGUGGCUGAGUGGUCGAAAGCGCGUCCCUGCUAAGGACGUGUCCGGGUUAAACUGGACCGGAGGUUCGAAUCCUCUCUUCUCCGCCG
rnacentral:tRNA from 1 species